rfam:Olsenella sp. oral taxon 809 str. F0356 genomic scaffold supercont1.1, whole genome shotgun sequence.
UGUCUGGUCGGAAACCAGGCCGAAAGAAGGAG